CCUGCGCACCGCUCCGUCGCUCCCCGCUGCAAGGUGGGGGGAGGAAAGUCCGGGCAGCAUAGGGCACCGUGCUUCCUAACGGGAAGGGGCGCCGCCGGGAACGGCGGCGCCACGGAAAGUGCCACAGAAAGGGAGGUUGCCUGCAGGCCGAAAGGCCCUAGGCUGAAGUUUUGGCAAGGCCCGCCUUCGCCAAGGCUUCGGCGGGUAAAAGUGAAAAGGUGGGCCCGCCUUCGCGCGGGAUAGCGCGCUUCGGCGUGUGAAAGUAAGAGCCCACCAGCCCGGGUGGCGACAUCCGGGGCUUGGUAAACCCCACGGGCUGAAAGACCAAAUAGGCUGGGGAUCCCGACUUGUCGGGGUGAAGGGCGGCCCGCCCGGUCCCAGCGGGUAGGUCGAUCGAUCCCGAUGGCGACAUCGGGACCAGAUAAAUGACGGGGACCCCGCAUUGGACGUGUUCCGCAGCGGGGAACAGAACCCGGCUUACAGGUGCGCAGGACCU
rnacentral:RNase_P_RNA from 1 species